rnacentral:rRNA from 1 species
AGUGAACGCUGGCGGUAGGCCUAACGCAUGCAAGUCGAACGGCAGCACAGUAAGAGCUUGCUCUUACGGGUGGCGAGUGGCGGACGGGUGAGGAAUACAUCGGAAUCUACUUUUUCGUGGGGGAUAACGUAGGGAAACUUACGCUAAUACCGCAUACGACCUACGGGUGAAAGCAGGGGAUCUUCGGACCUUGCGCGAUUGAAUGAGCCGAUGUCGGAUUAGCUAGUUGGCGGGGUAAAGGCCCACCAAGGCGACGAUCCGUAGCUGGUCUGAGAGGAUGAUCAGCCACACUGGAACUGAGACACGGUCCAGACUCCUACGGGAGGCAGCAGUGGGGAAUAUUGGACAAUGGGCGCAAGCCUGAUCCAGCCAUACCGCGUGGGUGAAGAAGGCCUUCGGGUUGUAAAGCCCCUUUGUUGGGAAAGAAAAGCAGCAGGUUAAUACCCCGCUGUUCUGACGGUACCCAAAGAAUAAGCACCGGCUAACUUCGU